UACGUAGGGUGCGAGCGUUGUCCGGAAUUACUGGGCGUAAAGAGCUCGUAGGUGGUUUGUCGCGUUGUUCGUGAAAACCUGAGGCUUAACCUUGGGCGUGCGGGCGAUACGGGCAGACUGGAGUACUGCAGGGGAGACUGGAAUUCCUGGUGUAGCGGUGGAAUGCGCAGAUAUCGGGAGGAACACCUAGGGCGAAGGCAGCUUGCUGGGACGGUACUGACGCUGAGACGCGAAAGCGUGGGGAGCAAACAGG
rnacentral:rRNA from 1 species